rnacentral:rRNA from 1 species
AUUGAACGCUGGCGGCAGGCCUAACACAUGCACGUCGAACGAGUGGCGGACGGGUGAGUAAUGUCUGGGAAACUGCCUGAUGGAGGGGGAUAACUACUGGAAACGGUAGCUAAUACCGCAUACCAUCAGAUGUGCCCAGAUGGGAUUAGAUAGUUGGUGGGGUAAUGGCUCACCGAGGCGACGAUCCCUAGCUGGUCUGAGAGGAUGACCAGCCAAACGGGCACUGAGAAACGGUCCAGACUCCUACGGGAGGCAGCAGUGGGGAAUAUUGGACAAUGGGCGCAAGCCUGAUGAAGCCAUGCCGCGUGUGUGAAGAAGGCCUUCGGGUUGUAAAGCACUUUCAGCGAGGAGGCGUUACUCGCAGAAGAAGCACCGGCUAACUCCGUGCCAGCAGCCGCGGUAAUAC